rnacentral:rRNA from 1 species
UACGUAGGGGGCGAGCGUUGUCCGGAAUUAUUGGGCGUAAAGGGCUCGUAGGCGGUUCGUCACGUCGGGAGUGAAAACUCGGAGCUUAACUCCGAGCCUGCUUCCGAUACGGGCAGACUAGAGGUAGGCAGGGGAGAGCGGAACUCCUGGUGUAGCGGUGGAAUGCGUAGAUAUCGGGAGGAACACCAGUGGCGAAGGCGACUACCUGGCCUGUUCUUGACGCUGAGGCGCGAAAGCUAGGGGAGCAAACGGGG